UAAAGAUUUUAAGGGCGUACGGUGGAUGCGUUGGCGAUAUCAGCCGAAGAAGGACGCGGUAAGCUGCGAUAAGCUACGGAGAGGUGCAAGCAACCUUUGACCCGUAGAUUUCCGAAUGGGGGAACCCGGCAGUGGUUAUGCACUGUCACCCAUACCUUUGAGUAUGAGGAGGGCACCUGGGGAACUGAAACAUCUAAUUACCCAGAGGAAGAGUAAUCAAACGAGAUUUUCUUAGUAGCGGCGAGCGAACGGGAAAGAGGCCAAACCGGAGCGGGCAACCGCACCGGGGUUGAGGACAGUCAUCAAGUGUAAAUGAGGUAGAAGAAUUGAGUUGGAAAGCUCAGCCGCAGAAGGUGAAAGCCCUGUAAUCGAAACCUUGCAUACAUGGGACUGUAUCCAGAGUACCACGAGACACGUGAAACCUUGUGGGAAGCAGGGGGGACCACCCUCCAAGCCAAAAUACUGAUAUCGACCGAUAGCGCAUAGUACCGUGAGGGAAAGGUGAAAAGAACCCCUGGCGGGGAGUGAAAGAGAACCUGAAACCGUAUGUCUACAAACAGUCGAAGUCUGUAUAUAUAUCAGGACGACGGCGUGCCUAUUGAAGAAUGAACCGACGAGUUACUGUUGCUAGCGAGGUUAAGUGGAAAACAUGGAGCCGCAGCGAAAGCGAGUCUGAACAGGGCGUUCAGUUAGUAAUAGUAGACCCGAAACCGUAGUGAUCUAUCCAUGGCCAGGUUGAAGCACAGGUAAAAUUGUGUGGAGGACCGAACUCGUGAGCGUUGAAAAGCUUUGGGAUGAGUUGUGGAUAGGGGUGAAAUGCCAAUCGAACACGGAGAUAGCUGGUUCUCCCCGAAAUAGCUUUAGGGCUAGCCUCGAGGUUGAGAGUAUAGGCGGUAGAGCACUGAUCGGGCUAGGGGCCAUACCGGUUACCGAACCUAGUCAAACUACGAAUGGCUAUACUUAUACUCGGGAGUCAGACAGUGAAUGAUAAGGUCCAUUGUCAAGAGGGAAACAGCCCAGAACACCGACUAAGGUCCCCAAUGUCAUACUAAGUGGCGAAGGAUGUGGAAUUUCCAAAACAACCAGGAUGUUGGCUUAGAAGCAGCCACCAUUUAAAGAGUGCGUAAUAGCUCACUGGUCGAGAGACUCUGCGCCGAAAAUGUCCGGGGCUAAAGUGUAAAACCGAAGUCGUGUCAUAUGCAGCAAUGUAUAUGGGUAGGGGAGCGUUCUCAUCGGGCUGAAGCAGUACCGUAAGGAGUUGUGGACUGAUGAGAAGUGAGAAUGUCGGUAUGAGUAGCGAAAAGAAUGGUGAGAAUCCAUUCCACCGAAAGCCUAAGGGUUCCUGAGCAACGAUCGUCGUCUCAGGGUAAGUCGGGACCUAAGCCGAGGCGGAAAAGCGUAGGCGAUGGACAACAGGUUGAAAUUCCUGUACCGGUGUGAAUCGUUUGAUCGAUGGAGUGACACAGUAAGGUAGGUCAGCACGCGAUUGGAAGUGCGUGUUUAAGCAUGUAGGUUGAGCUAUAGGCAAAUCCGUAGCUCUAAAAGCUGAGAUGUGAUGACGAGUUACUAGCGAUAGUAACGAAGUGAUUGAUCCUACACUGUCGAGAAAAGCUUCUAGGUAGAGACACAUCGCCCGUACCAAAACCGACACAGGUAGGCGGGGAGAGAAUCCUAAGGUGCGCGGGAAAACCCUCGUUAAGGAACUCGGCAAAAUGCCUCCGUAACUUCGGGAAAAGGAGGACUCAUGUAGUGUGAAGGGCAGUAACGCGUGGAGCAUGAAUGAGUGGCACAAGAGAGGCGCAAGCGACUGUUUACCACAAACACAGGUGCCUGCUAAAGCGAAAGCUGAUGUAUAGGUGCUGACACCUGCCCGGUGCUGGAAGGUUAAGAGGAGGGGUUAGACUUCGGUCGAAGCUCUGAAUUGAAGCCCCAGUAAACGGCGGCCGUAACUAUAACGGUCCUAAGGUAGCGAAAUUCCUUGUCGGG
rnacentral:rRNA from 1 species